rnacentral:rRNA from 1 species
AUUGAACGCUGGCGGCAGGCCUAACACAUGCCAGUCGAGCGGAUGAAGGGAGCUUGCUCCUGGAUUCAGCGGCGGACGGGUGAGUAAUGCCUAGGAAUCUGCCUGGUAGUGGGGGAUAACGUCCGGAAACGGGCGCUAAUACCGCAUACGUCCUGAGGGAGAAAGUGGGUGAUCUUCGGACCUCACGCUAUCAUAUGAGCCUAGGUCGGAUUAUCUAGUUGGUGGGGUAAAGGCCUACCAAGGCGACGAUCCGUAACUGGUCUGAGAGGAUGAUCAGUCAAACUGGAACGGAGACACGGUACAGACUCCUACGGGAGGCAGCAGUGGGGAAUAUUGGACAAUGGGCGAAAGCCUGAUCCAGCAAUGCCGCGUGUGUGAAGAAGGUCUUCGGAUUGUAAAGCACUUUAAGUUGGGAGGAAGGGCAGUAAGUUAAUACCUUGCUGUUUUGACGUUACCAACAGAAUAAGCACCGGCUAACUUCGUG